GACGAACGCUGGCGGCGUGCCUAAUACAUGCAAGUAGAACGCUGAAGGAGGAGCUUGCUUCUCUGGAUGAGUUGCGAACGGGUGAGUAACGCGUAGGUAACCUGCCUGGUAGCGGGGGAUAACUAUUGGAAACGAUAGCUAAUACCGCAUAAGAGUAGAUGUUGCAUGACAUUUGCUUAAAAGGUGCAAUUGCAUCACUACCAGAUGGACCUGCGUUGUAUUAGCUAGUUGGUGAGGUAACGGCUCACCAAGGCAACGAUACAUAGCCGACCUGAGAGGGUGAUCGGCCACACUGGGACUGAGACACGGCCCAGACUCCUACGGGAGGCAGCAGUAGGGAAUCUUCGGCAAUGGACGGAAGUCUGACCGAGCAACGCCGCGUGAGUGAAGAAGGUUUUCGGAUCGUAAAG
rnacentral:rRNA from 1 species